rnacentral:rRNA from 1 species
CAGUAGCCGCGGUAAUACGAAGUGGGGCUAGCGUUGCUCGGAGUGACUGGGCGUAAAGGGCGCGUAAGCGGCGGCCAAAGUCAGGCGUGAAAUUCCCGGGCUCAACCUGGGGGCUGCGUUUGAUACUUGGUUGCUUGAGUGGGGAAGAGGGUCGUGGAAUUCCCAGUGUAGAGGUGAAAUUCGUAGAUAUUGGGAAGAACACCGGUGGCGAAGGCGGCGACCUGGUCCUUUACUGACGCUGAGGCGCGAAAGCGUGGGGAGCAAACAGGAUUAGAUACCCCAGUAGUCCCUGUCUCUUAUA